rnacentral:rRNA from 1 species
AAAUUGAAGAGUUUGAUCAUGGCUCAGAUUGAACGCUGGCGGCAGGCCUAACACAUGCAAGUCGAACGGUAACAGGAAACAGCUUGCUGUUUCGCUGACGAGUGGCGGACGGGUGAGUAAUGUCUGGGAAACUGCCUGAUGGAGGGGGAUAACUGCUGGAAACGGUAGCU